CCCACGGAAAACGGAGGUGGUCAGGGGCCCACCCACUGUGGCCUCAUGAGCUCCUCCAACAGGCUCUGUGGCCUCCAGGAGAGAGGGGACAGAGCGAGACCUUGCCCCCUCGACUCUCCUGCUGUCACUCUCCCCAUCUGAGGGGGGACCCGCACCCACGGGUGUGGGUGCACAGAAGCUGUGCUCACAGGCGUGGCCUGGCUGCGACUGGACCUCCUGUCUUCUUGCUGAUGAGCGAGGGGACUGUGCACAGGCAGCUCUUAUCCUUCCUCACACCCUGCAGGCCCAGAGACUGGUUCAAGUGUCGGAUUUAGGCACUUCUAGCAUCUCAUAAACGCGAUGGCAUCUUCUUUCCCAGAGAAACUGGUAGCAGAGGGCACCAGUGGCACACAUUUUAUGGACCUGCUGGGAGUCAGGCGCAAGGGUAGCUGGCGGGGAGCCGCCUGGCGGGCCUGGAGCAGGACCAAGUUUCUACCUGUCUUUGUGAUCUGACCUCACUUUCAUCCCAAGAGAAAGAACCAGACGGUUAAGGCACUUUCAUCACAGCCUUGGCUUCCAGGAGAGUUGGCUGGGGCUUUUGAGGACCUUUCUAGAAGCCAGCUCGCUGAUGUUGGUUCCAUGCCUUUCCCCUUGCACAGGUGCACCACAGGCCCAGCCGCCCCCUGGCCCAUCUGGAGGUUCAUCUCUGAGGGCCAAGUGCCCAGGCUCCAUGGGACUACACGCAAGGUACGACCAGCUUAAUUCACCCCGAGUCCACGAACCACCUAUGGCCUGAACAGCCACUCAGCCCUUUAUACUAAGGGACAAGCCACACACACGUCUACAGUAAGUGGAUACAGGGUAGAGACAGGUGUGGACGCCUUAGCCAAUCCAACCUUCCACAAGAGGACACCAUAUCCUCUUGGCCCAUGUCCUAGGGGGCCAGAGGUAUGACAGCAUGAUGUGCUGAGUGGUCAUGCCGUGGAGAAGAGGCACAGAAAGCGAGGGGAUCAGUCACGUGGCUCUAAGGACAGCGUUCCAGGUGGAGGGAAGGGCACAUGUGAAGAGCCCGUGUGGAGGCCAGCACACGGCGUGGAUGCAGCCAGGGAGCAGGGGCCACAUGCAGGACGGUCCAUGAUGAGUUAAAGCAAAAGGACAGGUGGCAUUUAGCGCCCUCAACUAGGGCCUGCUGGGCAUCGUAAGGCACCAUCCCUGAAGCAUGGAACAGCACUGCCCCACUGGGCACUUAGGAGGCUCCCAACACCACCACAGACGGGCCAGAAGUGGGAGUUCUGGGUCUUGUUCUUGAGCUAGGACCUACGAUCAAGUCGGGAAAGGUGACCCUACAGACACGACAGAGCGAGGGGACAACGGCCAAAAUUUGGAGACCCGAGAUACCAUCCAGGCAGUGUGCCCACGAGACAUAAGUAAGCCACGUGAGUAACGCAUUCUUGUUUCCACCUUAAAUGGACUUUACAUGCAGAGCACUUGUCAGCUCAGACUGGACACGGGCUCCUGGCUACCACACUGCACAUGUAAAUUACCACCCUGAUCUAUUCCCCGUGUGGGUAUGUACACGCGGCCACACAGAGGAAAAAAAAGCCACUCUGGACGGUUGGACUUAAGACAUUUUUGUCUUCUUUCCAUUUUGCUAUAUUCCAAACUUUCUACAAUGAGUAUCAGUUAAGUCUGUAAAAAAAAUUCUGAAGUACAUUUGAAAAAGAUGCUUCAGGGCCGGCCGAGUGGCUCAGCUGGUUAAGAGCUUG